rnacentral:siRNA from 1 species
UACAUAAGUGACAUGAAGCAUCAC